rnacentral:misc_RNA from 1 species
GUGAGUCAUCGAAUCUUUGAACGCAUCUUGCGCCCUUUGGUAUUCCUUAGGGCAUGCCUGUUUGAGUGUCACGAAUACUAUUUGGACCAAGUCUUUUUUCUUCAUGUUAAUCGACGAGGCUCCAGCGUUGAGCGUCUGCCUCGCCCUUGGGCCUGGCUCGCUUUAAAUGUAUUAGCUGGGUCGGCUGGUUGCAGCCUUCACCUUUGGUAUGAUAAGUAUUAUGCCGUCGGUUGAGGGUAGCGCCGUUCCAUGGUCGCCUGCUUCUAAUCUAGGAGUAGCAUCGAAACUCGCUGUGCUUGC